rnacentral:tRNA from 1 species
GAGGGUAUAGAUCAGAUGGUAGAGCGCAUCUUAGCAUACACAAGGUCCUGGGUUCAAUUCCCAGUACCCCCU